GAUGAACGCUAGCGGCAGGCCUAACACAUGCCAGUCGAGGGAGAAGCCCUUUCGGGGGCAGAAACCGGCGCACGGGUGCGUAACGCGUAUGCAACCUACCUUUCACAGGGGGAUAGCCCGAAGAAAUUUGGAUUAAUACCCCAUAAUAUUAUUGGAUGGCAUCAUUUGAUAAUUAAAACUGCGGUGGUGAAAGAUGGGCAUGCGUCCUAUUAGCUAGCUGGAGUGGUAACGGCACCCCAAGGCUACGAUAGGUAGGGGUCCUGAGAGGGAGAUCCCCCACACUGGUACUGAGACAGGGACCAGACUCCUACGGGAGGCAGCAGUGAGGAAUAUUGGUCAAUGGUCGGAAGACUGAACCAGCCAUGCCGCGUGCAGGAAGAAUGCCUUAUGGGUUGUAAACUGCUUUUAUAUGGGAAGAAUAAGGUGUACGUGUACAUUGAUGACGGUACCAUAUGAAUAAGCAUCGGCUAACUCCGUG
rnacentral:rRNA from 1 species